ACAACGAAGAGUUUGAUCCUGGCUCAGGAUGAACGCUAGCGACAGGCUUAACACAUGCAAGUCGAGGGGCAGCAUGAACUUAGCUUGCUAAGUUUGAUG
rnacentral:rRNA from 1 species